GGUGGUUCUUGGGUGAUGCACCCAAGAAUAGGGCUCCCUCCUCUCUGGUUCUGGAGUGCAUCACCCAGGCAACUGCU
rfam:Myotis lucifugus cont2.46489, whole genome shotgun sequence.